rnacentral:rRNA from 1 species
UACCCCGUCUUGAAACACGGACCAAGGAGUCUAGCAUGUGCGCGAGUCAUUGGAAACUAAUAAAUCCAGAGGCGCAAUGAAAGUGAACAGCGUCGUUCCCCUCGGGGUUCGGCCGCAGGGAAGAUGACGCGCGGUACGCCCGCGCGUUCGCAUUCCCGAGGCGUUUCGAGAAAUGCCUCAGUUGCGAUUAUCGAGACGCACUGAGAGCGCACACGCUGGGACCCGAAAGAUGGUGAACUAUGCCUGGUCAGGUCGAAGUCAGGGGAAACCCUGAUGGAGGACCGAAGCGAUUCUGACGUGCAAAUCGAUCGUCCGAACUGGGUAUAGGGGCGAAAGACUAAUCGAACUAUC